rnacentral:lncRNA from 15 species
GUGCUGACAUAUUUUUCAAGUAAGGUGAGAAGAUAAGGUGAGUCUCUGAAUGGUCACGCAAUGUGAUGGGAACAUACCUGAUCCCCAAGGUUUCUACGCCUGCAACACCUGUACAGUAUAUAAAGAGCUGCAUGAAAUGUAGUAUCACCAUGCAGCAAAACUCAUCUACAGCAUUUACCUGUUCAUCAUGAUGAAGCUGAUCCCUUCUCUGACUCUCAUCUGGGCGCUCUCCAGCACAGGUAACCCCACUUCUGUGGAGAGCAUAUUUGGAGAAACUUUUAAUCUUAUACCAGAACUGUUUUAAGAAAGGAUUUUAAUAUAUAAUAUGAGCAGACAAAAACCUUCUAAAACAUAAGUAAAGAUCAUUAAUACAUUUCAUAAAUUAUAAUACUUAGUAGUGAUACACUACAACUCUCUAGUCAAUACAAUUUACGAUACUGGAUUCAGAUAUUUAAUGAAAUGGUAUUGAAGACUAUAAAAAAUAAUAAUAUACUUGAGCAUUGUGGAGGAAGCUGUGCGUGUAAAUAUGUAUGUCUGCUGCAUUUUAGACACAUUACAACCCUUGUGUUUUUUGCAAUGCUUUUCCAACAAUAACUUCCAACCUUUAAAGACCAUCAAAACCUUUAACCCUGACCACCUCAGACAUUUGAUUUGACAUCUGGUGUGUGAUAAUUGUAUCAACUGUUUGUCUCCCCUCGGCAGCUGGAGCACUUCAGUGUCAAACUUGUACAAAUCUGCAGUGUUCAAGCACGGUAUUAUUUACAUGUUUGUCUGCAACAGAGUUGUGUCUAGAAGCUUCCAUUCAAGGUAGUCAUUUCAUUUAUUACUUUUCAGUGAAAUAGAAUACCUGCAAAGUUAUGCGCUCUUUCUAUCAACAUUAACAAACUGUGCUUUGAUUUUGUAGGCACUUCAUCUGGAGCCACAGUCCAGCAAAUCUUGAAGGCUUGUGCACCGCCCUCCCUGUGUCCAGCCACAGGCUUUCAGAAUAUUUCAGUCAACUUGGGUAUUGUGAGUGCAGUUGCAUCUGUUCGGUGCUGCAACACGGAUAACUGCAACAACAACACAACUCCAGCUUCCCCAGUGGCACAGACAAGUAACAGCCUACAGUGUUUCACUUGUAACACCUCUCAAUGCAACAUCCCAUUACAAUGUAAGGGAGAGGAGGACCGCUGCUUUCAAGCAAGUGUGAUAAAUGGGUCCAGCACUUUUCCAGUCUUUGGCUGUGCAUCUUCAAACCUGUGUACAGCUGCUGCCAGCCUGGGUAGCCUACCUUUUGUACAAGGUAUUGGUGACCUCACCAGCAGUGGACCAUCCUGUUGUAACACCUCAUUGUGUAAUACUGUUACAACAACAACAACAAGCGACGCCUGCCGUGUCAGACUGGCUACGAUCCUUCUGAUGCUCGGACUCCUUAUCUUAACCCUCUGUUAGAACACUGACAAAAUGGAGGAAGCACCUUUGAAGCCAGCAGAAUGAGUUCUUUUGAAGCCUGUAGUUGGGUUUAUUGCUCACUGACAUCUUUAGCUGGGAGUUACAGGGGCUAGAAAAACCACAUUUAGGGAAAAAGUGCAAGGGUGAAGCUUAAGUGGGAUAAUUAGGCAGCAAUGCAGUAGACUUUUUUCACAGCAGUCAUUUUGACAUGAAAUAGUAGGGUAAACACAGGUGUUACCAAUGAUACUAAUUAAGGUUCUGUUCAGAUCAAACAGAGUCAGGUUGGUGCUAUUGUGCAUGUUGUCACUGGAAAGGUACUGCUGCACUAAAUGGAACCUUAAUUAGUAUCAAUGGCAACACGUGUUUACCCUACUAUUUCAUGUCAAAAUGGCUGCUGUGAAAAAUGUCUAUUGUCAGGCACUUAGAUGCAUGAACUUUUUCGCAGCUUUAAUUUACUUAGUACAUAUUUGCUGGGGAUUUUUUUACUGUGUGUAUUUUAACUGGAUUGAAUGUUGUGUUUUGUUGUAAAUUGUACAGAUAUAAUACAAUUGUCUACUAUCCUAAUACUAUAUCAUAUAAUAUACCGUAUUGACCUGAAUAUAAGACGACCCUGAAUAUAAGACGACCCCUCUUUUUCAAGACCCAUAUUUGGAAAAAUACUUUUUAUUUGGACAAAAACUUGAAAAUUGAAAUUAAACGAGCAUAAGCCUACUGGCUUAACUUGUGCAAUAAACGGCGCACAUUUUCUUGACAGUGUCAGAACAGUCUGCAAAAUGUGAGAACAAUAACAUCCAAAAACACCACAAACAGUUUUUUUUUUUUUCUUUCUUUCAUUGAGCUGCAUCCUCCGCAUCACUGUGUUCCUCCUCCUCACUCGCACUUUCAUUGUCGCUCUCUGCCGAUGCCGUCGGCUCCUCCCACAUCAAAUCAUCCUCGCUUCCAUCCAUCAGAUUUGAGAUGCAACAUUUCUUGAACCCGUUGAUGAUGCUCUCAGAGGAGACGUCUGCCCAAGCUUGCAGGAUCCAUUCGCAGAGAAGAUGGGCAGAAGGUUUCUGAAUUUUUCCAGUAGGUGUCAAGACAUGGUUACCAGCCAGGAGCCAUGCUGUGUAGUUCUUCCGCAGACUGUUUUUGAAUGGCUUAUUAACGACCACAUCCAGUACCUGUAACAAGUUAUUUUUUUAACCAUUAUAGGCCUACAGUAGCUUGCUGUUAUGUACACAUCUAUCAUAAAUUCUAUUGUAUCUUUUCAAUCUCCCAAUAAAAUGACUCAAACUACACUGACCUGCAGCUGACUUGUCAUUCCACCCGGGAUGAUCACCAAGUCACCAUUCAGCUCCUUAACUUGUUUCUUGACCUCGUCUGUCACAUGUCCACGGAAAGCAUCUAGCACCAGCAUGUUUCGCCUCCGUCUAAGUCCCCCGGGACGUCUGGCCCACACAAAUUUAAGCCAGUCCACCACAAGCCUGGACUCCAUCCAUCCUUUUUCUUGUGCACGCACAAUUAUGCCAGCCAGCAUAGGAUCUUUGGGGAGAGUCUUUCGUUUUAAAAUCACAUAGGGGGGGAGUUUGGUCCCAUCAGCGAGGCAGGUUAACAUAACGGUAACGCGGCUCUUCUCGUUCCCUGUAGACUUAACAAUCACUGAUUUGUCUCCUCUUUUAUGAACGGUGACAGAUGUGGGCAUGUCAAAAAAAACAGGUGUCUGGUCUGCGUUGCCAAUCUGAUCCAGGGGAUAUUCAUGCUUCUUUCUCAAUUUUAUCACAAAACGCUGGUAGUUUACCAGCUUCUCUCUGAAGUCUGCGGGCAGACGCUGAGCUAGGCUUGUUCUGCGUCUGAGGGACAGGCCAUUACGUCGC